CUUAUAAAACGAUUCAGUCAAUGAAUCUUAAAUAAAACAUGAUAAUAUAGGGUAUGUAAGGGAGCUACCAUUUGAUUUUUAGGGGGGGGGUGGCUAGGAUGAAAUUUGAAAAAAAUAGGCAGGACAGGAGUUUUGAGAUAAUUUAGGUAAAAAAAGUCAGGAUAAACUAAAAAAAAAAAAAGGCAGGACCGAACAGAGUGAAAAAUAAAAAGGCAGGACAGAGAUUACAGCUAAAAAAAAAUGCAGGACAAAAUUUUUCAUCCUAGCCCCCCCCCCAUAAAAAUCAAAUGGUAGCUCCCUAAUGUCAAUUUACAAAACUUCUGGGAAAAUAAACGGAAGAGGAAGUUGUCUAUGAAUAAAAGCCGGUGUGAUGACGGACACAUAUCCGGACUUCUUUUUUUCCGUUUUUCUCCCAAAAAAACCGAAACUGAAUAAUCAUAAGAAUGGAUGACAAAUGCGACUAUGCAUGGUACCUAUUGGACAUACAGUUACAAUGAUCAAUUUAUUGUGGAAGGAGGAGAAGCGACACCCAAAAUGAGGUCUUCUCGUUUAAUAGUAUAGAUAG
rnacentral:lncRNA from 1 species